CCUACGGGAGGCAGCAGUGGGGAAUAUUGGGCAAUGGGCGCAAGCCUGACCCAGCAACGCCGCGUGAAGGAAGAAGGCCCUCGGGUUGUAAACUCCUUUUAUCAGGGACGAAACAAAUGACGGCACCUGAUGAAUAAGCCACGGCUUACUACGUGCCAGCAGCCGCGGUAAUACGUAGGUGGCAAGCGUUAUCCGGAUUUACUGGGUGUAAAGGGCGUGUAGGCGGGAGAGCAAGUCAGACGUGAAAGUCCAGGGCUCAACCCUGGAACUGCGUUUGAAACUGUUCUUCUUGAGUGAUGGAGAGGCAGGCGGAAUUCCGUGUGUAGCGGUGAAAUGCGUAGAUAUACGGAGGAACACCAGUGGCGAAGGCGGCCUGCUGGACAUUAACUGACGCUGAGGCGCGAAAGCGUGGGGAGCAAACAGGAUUAGAUACCCGAGUAAUC
rnacentral:rRNA from 1 species